CGGCCACCUCGGGCAACAGUUGUUGGGGUACACAGAGAGGUGACAACGUGCCGGAGGAUUGACCAUUUGGUCUAUCCUGCCUCCUCUAAGAUAGCCUGCUUCCUUCAGGUAUGUGGGAUGGAGAAGGGAUCAUCUGGUCCUUUGUCUCAGCGAGCAAAAUGCCUUGGUCCAGCUCUGUACUUCAGCUGCACUUUUACUCCCCAUGAGUUCACAAGGUAGCUGGCAACAGUAUGCUCGAAGCGUUCACUCAUGAAAGAGUAAAAGCAAAAACUAGCGUGGAAAUAGGCACACAUCUGGUUCCGAUGAAGGAGCCAGCUUCAUCCCUGAAAGCCAAUGAGAUGUCAGCUCCACGGGCUUCAAAAUAUUAAUGCCAGAAGAGCUGCUUCAUUCGUCAGCCUUAAAUUACAUUUUAGGGCAGGGGCAAGGAAUCUGUGAUUUCCCCCCCCCCCGCCGCCGCCAGUGUUGCUAGACUACUACCUUAGUGGUGGCCAUGUUGGAUGGGUCUAAUGGGAGACCCACCAGUGACAUAGAUUUGGAGUUGCUGAGUCUUCUCCCAAGCAGGAUGGGAUAGCAGCUAAUUCUCCAUACGCUUAGGCAUGACAGAAAGACAUAGCUGCAAGUAGAGAUACAGAUAGUUAUUGGCAUUAAUCAAGACCCUUAGCACGUCAACUGCAAAGGACACUAAACAUCUCAUGUCUUGAUCUUGUCUACUUAUGGGACCACCUCUCCUGGUAUGCCCCGCGGAGGACAUUAAGGUCCACAAAUAACAACACUUUGGAGGUCCCAAGCCACAUGGUGGUUAGAUUGGUCUCAGCUAGGGCCGGGGCCUUUUCAGUACUGGCCCCGACUUGGUGGAAAGCUCUGUCACGAGAAACUAGGGCUCUGCUGGACUUGACAUCUUUCCGCAGGGCCUGCAAGACAGAGCUGUUCCGCCUGGCCUUUGGUUUGGACUCAGACUGACCUUUAUGUUUCCCUCCCCAAAUGGUUUUGCUUUAUGGGCUACUAUUAAAAGGAGGCUGCAUUUUAAAUUGUAUUUUAACCCGUAUUUUAAUAAACUGGUUUUUUUGCUUGCUUGCUUGCUUGUUUUCCCCUAUUAUGUUUUAUUGUAAUUUUAUUGGUGUUGGCCGCCCUGAGCCCAGCUCUGGCCAGGGAGGGCGGGGUAUAAAUAAAAAAAUUAUUAUUAUUAUUAUUAUUAUUAUUAUUAUGUAAGUGGAUGGUGUCAAUUCAAAGAGGCAGUUGGAGAAUUUAAAAAUGUGAGUUUUAAAUGAGACCAGAUGUUUUUAAAAGGUGUGAGAGAGAUAGCCAUAUGUUUGCUCUUGGUACCUUUGAAAUUCUUAAUUUCCACCCUGGGGAAAAAAAUUCUUUGUGGCUGCAGGAAACUGAUGGGACCAUGAACCUUAAAGCAACAAAGAGAUGGGCAGAUGGCCAUUCUUUGUUUUAUAAGCAAAUCACAGGCUUUGAACAACCUGCAGGUAUUUUCUCAUUACUCUAAGAAAAUCAAGCAUGACGGCAAAUUGUAUGGAUCACGUCUUUCUGUGUUUUCAAGAUUUUGCUAACUUGUAGCUCCCUCCCACACAUAACUUACCUAUAUCCCUGGGGUCCUAAGUGUGUUUUACUUAACUGACAAAUGUGACUUCUUCCAAGUACAUUUGGGGCAGGGAGGAGGGUUAGAGGUUGGGCACUUCUGUCUUUCCUCCAUCCAGGCACAUUUUACAUUAAGCCAGUAUCGGGGAUUUAGCAAAUUUAUAUAUAUUUUUUCUUGUGUUAUGAAGCUUCUAGCUCAGAGCAGAUUGCCAGAUGAUUCUGGAGUCAAGGAUGCAUAUCUGCCUACCUUGCCUUCUAAUUGCUUCUUUCAUCAAAUUUAGGUUUUCUGUAUUCUGAUAAGAAAGCCAUGUGGUUUCUAUGUAGCUGCAGGCUAAAGACCCAUCUGCCUUGGCAGUUUAUCAUGUUGGUGUCAAUUGGAAGCACCUGUAGUUCAUGUCUGACCUAAGUUGUCUCCACUAAAGACAUCUGGAAGUUGUCUAAGGAUUAUUGUCCUUAAAAUUCUAGCCGUUUGCAAAUGCUUGCGCAUUUUUCUUCCUACUAUACCUUAGCGUUCUGCACUGAAUUUAUCUUACCCGUUAGAAAAGCAUCCCCCUUGUCAGUGCUGCCCCAUUUAUGUUACUUCCACUUGUUGGGAUUUUGAUAUCAUAUCAUGUAACAUAUGAUAACGGAGUUCAGAAGCCACAGUUCAGUGGUAGAGCAUCUGAUUUGCAUGCAGUUUCAGUCCCCAUCAUCUCCAGGUAUAUUUGGGACCACAUGCCUAAGUAGAUGCCUACAGGAAGCCCGUAAGAAGGACCUGAACACAGCAGGACUCGCCCUACUUGUGAUUCACAGCAGUGGCAUAGCGUGGCUUGCUGGUGCCCGGGUCAGGGCAAGUGUUGAAUCCCCCUGAUGGACUGGGCAGCUGAGGUGGAAGCGUGCGCCGGCAGGGCUUCCCCACUUGGGCACUUUCCCACGUUCCUCUGCCUCCCUCCUCAGUGGGUGGAAGCCACACCAUUCCCUUUCAGCCAAGCCGGGCAGCACUCAGGUGGCAGUAGCAAGGUGAGGUGGGUGGGGCAUGUUGGUGGGUGUGACGUUAACAUAUGAAAGUGCAGGAGGCGAAAUAGUUAAACAGGUUAUCCAAUCAGAACCCAGGGGGGUGGAGUCAGAGGGACUAUAAAACCAGCUCUGGGAGGGGCGAAGAGAGAAUUUGUUGGGAGUUGGGUGGUUGGCUGAAGUGGGAGUGAAUUGGGAUAGAGUCUGGGGGUAGGUUGAGUUAGUGUAGCGAAAUAAGCUGAGUCAGGCACAGUUAGGGGCUAGGAAGACAAGUAAAUAUCUGAGAGGUGGUUUAGUGAGUGAGAGCAGGUAGAGGAAGUUAUAGGACUGGAUAGGCACCCCAUGAUUGUAAUUGACCGAUACCGUUUAUGAAACCACACACUUGUUAAACUGCAAUAAAUAAACAGAAGCUUAUGUUCCAAUUUAACCCUGACAGGACUCAGUAUUGUACCAGGUAGGGCCUGGGUGGUGGCAGCGAGAAAUAAAGUGGUGGCACAGGGAUCAAUAGACGGUGAAACGUCUGGGGACCCUGUGUGAUCGCCACAGUGGGCACCAGGAAUGGGACAGCUUGAGGCUGCCCUCACAUGCCCUGCCAGUGCUCGCUGGCCAUGGCCCCCCACAGCUGGCAAGGCCAGGGCCAGGAGCGCCAAGUGGAGGUGCCACUGCUCUGUCUGCAGCAUCAGCACCAACCAUGGCUUGGCCUCUGCCACAGCCUCCUCCUCCCUGGCCUGGGCCUCGGCCACUGCUCCCACCAGUGCCCAGCACUCCCCAGGCCAUGCUGCCUCCAUUCUCAAUGCCUCACAGGCCUGGCAAGCCCUCAUCUCUUGGCCUCGCCUCACGGCGCCAACCCCAAAGGGUGAAGGCCCAGCCCAGGUGCAGCUUGCCUCCCUUGGCUCCAGAAAGCGGCAGGAGCUCAUCAGGGAGUCUGGCGUCGGGAUGCCUGGUUCUGCCCCAUCAUAAUUCUGCUCCCAGGUCCACCACUCCUUUUCUCCCACGCUACGCGUCUGAUUCUCAACAAGGGGCAUUCAGAGGCAUACUGCUUCCAAGAGUGGUGCUCAAACAUAACCACUGUGGCCAAGUCAUGCCCACCUGCUCUACACCUGACAUCAUAUAUGAGGCAGGUAAAGGCAGGGCUUGACCAAAAGAGGGUUGUGAUUCGAGGACCCGAUCCCCGCUUGGGGAAUAAAGACACGUGGACACCGUAUAUUAGGUUAAUGGGGUAGAAAAGGCCACAACUUUAUUGAUUACAGCAUGUGAGAAGGUAUUGGCUUAGGCACUGGACCUCAGAGAAUUUGACUCCACCCACUCGGAGAGGGUUAACCACCAGUCAGUGGAGCCUGUUGAUGCAAAUACAACUAUAAGCUCUCCCCUGAUGUCACCGAGGGUUGUGCCAUGGCCCCCCGCCACACAGGCAUCGGACAAGAUCCACGACUGCUGGAUUCCUUUAACGGAAUACCCAUAAGUGAAGGGGUAGGUGAUGGCCACACCUUGCCCUUCCAUACACCAACAACACAUUCCAAUGCCUAACCGCCAAAUACCAAGAAAGUUGUGACGAUUGCUACGAGGUAGGCGGAAAAAACCAAGAGGCCGGUGCCAAUUCGCCAAUUGGAAAAAACUCCUACCAGGCCCCCUGGGCAACCAGGGCGACCAACCAUGGGUCCAUAGCAAGGUCAAGCAAGAAGCUACGCCCUACAGGGAGUGGUGGGUGGGUGACUUGUGGCGAAAACAGGGGCACAAUGGCGAGGAGAGCUGGCGCGGCUGCAUUUGAGCAGCUAAACCACGCCCCCGCGGUGUCUUCCGAUUGGGUGCCCAACGGGGAGGCGUGGCGCGCCAGUGACGAUGAUAGGGCAGGGGGCAGGACACCCCCUGUGUGACACGGGAAUCGUUUCCCGCUCACAAUCCCUCCCCUCCGGAAGGAGGAGAAGCUUUCUCCAUCAUCUGCAGAGCCCUUUGCAAGGUAUCGUGUGCUGGACUUUGCAAGUGCUGCCAAGCAACUGAUUGCCACAGCUUGCCCAGUUUGGUUUCAACCUGCAAGGGCAAACAUGAGUUGCCUGAUUGAAUACCGUAUUUUUCGCUCUAUUGGAGGCAGUUUUCCCCCUCCAAAAAUUGAGGGGAAAUGUGUGUGCAUCCUAUGGAGCGAAUGCAGCCUUGUGCCAUAGCCGCGCGCAACCCCUGUGGCAGGGAGAAGCUGCACGAGGCUACGGCUUCUUUAGCUCCACACAGCCUCUCCUGGCAGGGAGAGUUUGCGUGGGGCUAAAGACGAAGCCAAAGCAGCGAGUGGGAUCCAUCCCGCUGGCUGCCUUGGCUUGUUCCAUAGCCAUGCGCAACCCCUCCGGCAGGGAGAGGCUGCACGGGGCUAUGGCUUCUUUAGCCCUGCGCAGCCUCUCCCAGCAGGGAGAGGUUGUGUGGGGCUAAAGAGGAAGCCAAAACAGCCAGCGCGAUCCAGCCCGCUCGCUGCAUUGGCUUGUGCUACAACCCCUCCGGUACGCUGCACUUUGGGGCUGGGGGGGGGAGAUUUUAUUUAUUGAUUUCCCCGUCUAAAAACUAGGUGUGCCCUAUGGUCAGGUGCGCCCUAUGGUGCGAAAAAUAUGGUAAUUGGUGGCAACUGUCACUGUUUCAUUAGAUUUUUUUUUACUUUAAGUAUUUAAAAUUAUCUGUAGUCUGACCAUGGCAUUGCAGGAUAAAAGCCCCCAAAAAAGAACAGCACACUGAAUCAUUUGCAUUUAUAGAAACUUUACCUAACAUUAAAUUUGAAUGAUUCAUUACCCUUUCUGGAGAGGGGGGGGGAUGUUAGAUUUGUUGAAUUACUAUAAACAUUGCAUGUGGAUGAUUAAUGUGCUUUUUGUCAUUUUUAAGAAAGUGAAUGCUUAAAAAGACAAAAUCUGGCCAGUACAAAUGAAUAUACAAUUGACUAUGCCUAAAUGAAUAUAUUAUAAACAAUAUUUGAAAGAGAUGUGAAGUUAGUUUGCUAAUAGAAAACCUCCACUGACAGUGCAGUUCUGUGUGUUUACCAAGAAGAAAGUCCCAUUAAUUUCAAUGGGACUUACUCUCAGCUGCCCAGAGUGGCUGGGGAGACCCAGCCAGAUGGGUGGGGUAUAAAUAAUAUUAUUAUUACUAUUACUAUUACUAUUAUUAUUAUUAUUAUUAUUAUUAUUAUUAUUAUUAUAUGUUGCAGCCUCUCAAACCUUGACACAUGAGAUAUAUAUUUUAGAACUCACCCUAUUUCUCAGUUAUGUAAUUUGUUUUAAUGGAUGUUAAUACCAUACUUUAAAAUUGUUGCAACCCAGCCUGGAGCUGUAUGGUGAACAUAGGAAAUCUAAAUAAUAAUAUUAAUAACACUAACAAUAAUAAUUUAAAGCAGGAUGAAUCAUUAAUAGACUUCCGUGCCUCCUAGGAAGACGGUCUAAAACUUUCAUUGCAGCCAGGAUUCUACAUUUGGAAAGUGUUUUCUUCUUCUUCUUCUUAAAGUAAAUAAAAUGAUCAAGCAAUACAGGCACAGUUCUUCCCUCUUAUUAAUGCCUCAAGAAUUUUCCUGUAAUGAUGUGCAACAUAUCCAAUGGGAAAAUUUGUCUUUAGCUCAAUGUCCAUAAUGCCAGCCAUCAGUCACUAAAACAGCUCUGAUUUAAUAGCAAACAAAUUGGACACUGUGGUUCAUGUAUGUGAUUCAGAGGAUGUGCCAUUUAAUUUGUAUUAGACAGACACAUGGCUGAGUGAAUAUUGAUUAGAAGUCUUAUAUUUGUUACAAUAAGCAAGUUUCACUCUUUUCCCCCCUACUGAACUAUGGCCAUAACAUGUGUCAUUAAAUUAAAUAAUGACAAAGACUGGAACUGAAAACUAGGUCUGUCUAAGAAGUAUGAUACCUGAUGGUUACUCACAGCUGUUCCAAAUUUAUUGGUUAUAGCAAAUUUACAGCUAUUACCGAGAAAAUGGUGCUGAUCAAAGGUAUCCUGGUAGAAAUUAAAGAGACUUGUGUGGACAAUUUAAGCAAUUGGAUGUUGUCACUAGCUGUGUUAAGUUUUCUUUCUGAUUUUCUCUCUCUCUCAUUCAGUGACAUCAAAGUCUGAUGAUUGAUUAUUCUGGUCAAAGAAAGAUACAAAAACAAAACCGAAAUGUAAUUACAAAGGUUUAUGAAAAGUUGUGCUACUUAUGCCUUCCUGAGCAUGGCUUUCAAACUAGACAUGAAUUUUAUUGAAACACAAAAAGCAAAUUUGGACAAGAAUCAAUAUAAUGCAUGUCUUUGGAUUUGAGACAAUUUGUCAUUCCUUUAUACUGGCUGCAUUUGGAUGCAGCAAUAAACAGUGGUUUAACAUGAUAUGAAUAAGCCUCAGGGUUCUGUGCUUGCCCUUCCUAUCAAGCGGACUCUUAGAGGAGAUUGGAAACUAUUUGAGCAUUCAGGUGCCAGGGAAUAAUAAACAGUUCUUGGAAAGUUCAUUGCAGUUCAAAUUCAUCUUAUUCUAAAAGGAACUAGUUCCAGACAUUAGCAACAGCAACAUCUUCAUAUCUGCUUAAUAAAUCUGAGAAUAUUGCCUCCAUCUUUUGCUUUCUAACUUUCUUUAUAGAGGUCCAUUAUACAUAAUUCUAUUUUAUUUCUCAUGGAAGCUAAGUGUCGAAGCCUCCUGCUAGAGCAGGCAUAGGCAAACUCAGCCCUCCAGAUGCUUUGAGACUACAAUUCCCAUCAUCCCUGACCACUGGACCUGUUAGCUAGGGAUGAUGGGAGUUGCAGUCCCAAAACAUCUGGAGGGCCCAGUUUGCCUAUGCCUGUACUAGAGAAACAAGGGGGUGGAUUUUUGUGAAAAUGUAUUAGAACUUAUUCAGACUUUUAUCCUUCAAAGAACAAUUCACCUUUAGUUCACCCAGCCAUUGUGGAAAUUACUUUCAGGUGUAAUUCGGAGAUUUUUGAACUAGGUCAGUGAACUUUAUCCAGCUGAAUGAGUUCAUUCCACACUAGCUCAUUCCAAGCACUGGCAAUAAGGUAAGACCUCUUAUUAUGGCAGUUGCUGCCAAGUAAAUUUUGCAGCAGAGGAAGGAGCUGGCCACAGUGGUGGGAACUGAGAGUCAUGGCAAAAGCUCAUCAUGAGUCAGCCCAAGCCUUGGACCAGUCAUCCUCUCUCACCCCAACCUACCUCACAUGGUUGUUGUAAGAUUGAAAUGGGGAGGGGGAUGCAAAUGAAAUGGGGAAAAAAAGUAAAUUCUGUGUCUAUCCCACACACAAAUUUCUGUUUCAAUUAAAUCCAAUUCACUGCAUAUUUAAUGCUUGAUCUGUCAAAUGAGCAUUUUCUAAAACAAUAUGCAAACUGAAACACAGCUAUCCUUCAAAAGUCACACUUCUCCCAUAUGUAAUUGGAUAUGUAAUUCUCGAACAAAUAAUGUCUACAAAAAUGCAUACAUCAGGGAGAACGAUGCAUACAAAUGAAAUAUAUUUGUAAAAAUAAUACUAAAAUGCCUUAUAUCAGGGGGAAUUGCUUACAAGAAUGUGCACUUUAGACAGAAAAAUCAUAUUAAAUGUUUAUUAAGAAAAAUUCACACUGAAAUUUUGUAUUUUUAAAAAUAAAGAACUGCAAAUUGCUUCAAAAUGCAGAGAACUGAUUUUACCAUUGGAGAAAUGAGAACCCUGAUAGAGUCUGCCAUCCCUAAUUAUCACUAUUGUGUUACACACACACACAGACACACACGCAGUGGUACCUCCAGUUGUGGACUGGAUCUGUUCCAGAGGUCUGGUCGGAUCCUGAGAUUUCCGCAACUUGAGGACCUCUUCUGCGCAUGUGUGCACGGCAAAACCCGGUAAAAUACUUCCGGGUUUGCCGCUUUUGCAUCCCAAAGUUUACGUAACCCCCUGGUUACGUAACCAGAGGUACUACUGCACAGCAUAUUUUUCGCUCCAUAAGACGCACCUGACCAUAAGACGCGCCUAGUUUUUGGAGAGGGAAUGCAAGGAACAAAAUAUUCUUUAAAGGGAGCGCUGAGCAGAGCCGUGUGGAGUGUGUGUGCGGCCCUUGCAGGCUUUUCCCCUUUUCCUCUUCAGGGAAAAGCCCCCAAGAGCUGCACACACGCUCCGAACAGCUCUUUAAAGGGAGUGCGGCUCUUGGGGGCUUUUCCAGGAGGUGGGGGAAGGGACAGAGGGGCUAAGCCAGCGCUCCCUCUCACUGUUCUGGCUUCUGGGAUAGCUGUGCAGCCUGCAUUCGCUCCAUAAGACGCACACACAUUUCCCAUUACUUUUCAGGAGGGAAAAAGUGCAUCUUAUAGAGCAAAAAAAUACGGUAUAUAUGAUUUUCACUAAUAUUAAUUUUCAUCACUGACAUAACUCAAGCGGGCUUACGGAUAAACCAGUAGCAUUAAUUAGUGUUGUAUUCAAUGCUGCAGAAGAGAUAUUCCACUUGGAACUUCCCCUUCCUCUCAUCUCCAGCACCCUCCAAAAAGCUGCUGCACAGGGUAACUCAACCAAGAGGGUCCAGGGAGGAUACAGAAGAAAGGAGAGGAUGGAGAUUGGUGAAAUGGAAGUGUUAACUACAACCCUUAAUCUCUAUUUUUCACAACUCCUGACAUGUAGAAUAAUGCAGGGGACCUAUUAAUCUAUUCAAACAGUAAAGACAUCAUCACAGCACCGUGCUUCUUUGCUGAAUCAAGAUGGCUCUGGAACUCUCCUACUGCAAUGCAAAGAGUUGGAAUUAAGUCACUCUCCAGUCAAUGCCCCCAAAUGCCGCUUGUCUAACAGACCAUGGGUUUAAUGAAGUGUGAUUUCAUUGUCUUCAUAAAACCAGAGCUCAAGCUUGGCUUCCCUUUGGUGCCCCCUCCAUUCUCAUCGCAAGGCUGAUUUACAACACCUCUAAAUGCAGCCAGACAUUCACAGCUCGGCUGUUCGGCAAAACAUCCCUUGCCCAAUUUAAUCUAAUUAUUACAAUAACAUAGAUAUUAACAGUGGUUGGUUUCGAAAGCGUUGUUUUCCCACUGGCAUCGUCUUAGCACUGUUAUAAACUGGAGUUGUCAUAUUGGAGAGCAUCUUUUUCUAAAGAAGUUCUCCAAGUUUGCCACCAUGAGCAUUCUAGGAACACAGGAAACAGCCAGACACAAGGAUCCUCACGUAAGGACCACUGGUCCAUGACCUAGAGCAAGAUUGUCUACAAUGAGUGGCAGGGUUACAGGCUGAGGUCUUUCUCGGCCCUGCCUGAAGAUGCUGGAGAUUUAACUUGGGUCUUCCGCAUGCAAAACAGACUCUCUGCUAAUGACCUUUCCUUGAUGAAGAAACAAACUAUUGUUACAAAAGCUGGGUGCCUUCCCAUCUCUCUGCCAAGCAGUUGCAAGAGUCCAUGGAUUUCCAGGCACUCACACAGGGUCUGUGUUCCUUUGGAGAAUUGCAAAAUGGCAGAGACUGUCUUGGUUUAAGAAAUAAUGGCUUAUGCAUCUAUUUACAUCUAUUUAUACCUAUUUACAUGGGUGGCGCUGUGGUCUAAACCACUGGGCCACUUGCAACAAAGCGAACUGGACUCCUUGGCAGGUUUUGAAUAAACAUUCACAAUUUUUUUACUGAUAAUAAUCAGCUAAACAGUUUGAGGAUCUAUACAACUUUGUAACAUGCAGAAAACAGCAUUAUUGGAGAAACCAAAGACUGGAACUGAGGGAAUUCGGGGGGGGGGGUUCUGUGGGAGGGAGGGGGGGAGGAAAAAUGGGGAGGAAUAAGGAUAUGUUUUUGGAUAUGUCUAUUAUAACUUGUUAUAAAAAAAACAAACCACUGGGCAUCUUGGGCUUGCCAAUUGGAAGGUCAGCAGUUAAAAUCCACACGAUGGGGUGAGCUUCUGUUGCUCUGCCCCAGCUCCUGCCAACCUAGCAGUUCAAAAGCACACUAUACAGCUGCAACUAAAACAUUUUAAAUGUGUUGUAGGGACGUGGGUGACACUGUGGGCUAAACCACAGAGCCUAGGACUUGCCAAUCAGAAGGUCGGUGGUUCGAAUCCCCACUACGGGGUGAGCUCCCCUUGCUCGGUCCCAGCUCCUGCCAACCUAGCAAUUCGAAAGCACGUCAAAGUGCAAGUAGAUAAAUAGGUACCACUCCGGUGGGAAGGUAAACGGUGUUUCCGUGCACCGCUCUGGUUCACCAGAAGUGGCUUAGUCAUGCUGGCCACAUGACCCGGAAGCUGUACGCCAGCUCCCUCGGCCAAUAAAGCGAGAUGAGUGCUGCAACCCCAGAGUCAGCCACAACUGGACCUAAUGGUCAGGGGUCCCUUUACCUUUUAAAGUGACACUAGAUGGCGAGACUGAGCUAUUAAAAAAUCAAUGUGUUUUUCAAAAUGCUUUUUUAAAAAAGCAUUUUCACAGUGUGUUUUUAAUAUGUGUGUAUAUUCCACCUAAAUUUAAAGUGCCAUUUUUCUGCUAGCUUUCAUAUCCCAGUUUCUAACACUGUCUACAGCUAGUCAGAUAAAAAUGUUAUGAGUUAAAUGAACCGUUGGUCUAGCUUGGUAUAAAUAAAGCUGCUUAAAUCUACAAGCCUUUAGAAGUUGACAAUAAUAAUAAUAAAAAAGCAAUGACAAAAGUAUGCUUUUGAAGAGAGGAAAACAGAUCUGGAUGAAAUGAAUUCAUCACAGUAACAAACAUCUUUUUUGUCCUCUGCUUGAAACAAAAACUAGCUGGAAAAAUAUUGCUCCUUUAAUUUAUGGCAACGGCUGGUUCAUUAGGCAGAAAGUCUGCCUUGAUGAAUUCUUAGAGGCACUCAAGUAGUCCCUGAUCACUUCCAAGUUCUGUUUUAUUCUGUGUAAGUGGGCAGGCUGUAUUUUCCCCCUCUUUGCACUUACUAACUCAUUUCCUUCUAAAUAUUAAGCAGACGGUCACAGAAAUCACUCAGAAGCAAACCUGCAUUAGAAAUGAUUCACUGGGUCAGCCAUGGGAAAAACAAGUGAAAAAUGUCUAAUGUUUAUAAUUAUGCAAGAAAUGUUGUCAGGUUUCUGAACACCCUGUCUGAACACUAAAGGUUUUUAUUUUAUCCACGUUCAGCUAAGCGAUGUCCACUGCAGCAUGGUAGAAAAACCAAAUGCACCAUCAGGAGCAGAGCUACGCAGACUCGUGGUCCAGCCACUUUCUAGGCCGAUACGAAGGAUGGAAAAGCCACCUCCCAGAACAGUCAUAAAUUUCAAUGUCUGCAAUGGCCAAAACCCCCCAAAAACCCUGACUAGACAUUCAUGUGCAAGCGAAAAGUCAUGCAUAUUGGAUCAAAAGGACCCCUGGAUGGUUAAGUCUGGUCAAAGGCAACUAUGGGGUGUGGCACUCAUCUUGCUUUCAGGCCAAGGGAGCCGGCAAUUGUCCACAGACAGCUUCCAGGUCAUGUGGCCAGCAACUGCUUCUGGCACAAUGGGACACCGUGACGGAAAGCAGAGCACAUGGAAAUGCCAUUUACCUUCCCGCUGCAGUGGUGCCUAUUUAUCUGCUUGCACUGGUGUGCUUUCGAACUGCUAGGUUGGCAGGAGCUGGGACAGAGCAAUGGGAGCUCACCCCAACGCACGGAUUCUAACCGCCGACCUUCUGAUCGGCAAGCCCAAGAGGCUCAGUGGUUUAGAUCACAGCGCCACCCGCGUCCCUUAGGAAAGACAUAUUGAGAUCAUGGCAAAUAGCCUAUUGAAAACAUCAAAGCUUAUUAGGACCACAAAUAGCAAUUCAGCCAGACAUACCUGAGAGGUGUACACUUACUAGCUUGUUUUAAUAUGCUCUGACACCAAGCAUGUGGUGGCCAGGUCUUAAGGGUGUCCAUGAUCAAGUUUAAAAAUUGGGAAUCAAUGCAAUGCUUUAAAACUAGAUUCCAUCCUAUGCAGCUGCCUUCAUAUGUUCCCAGUUCAAUUCACACAUGAUGGUUCUUUUUCUGAGUCAUGUAGAAUGAUGCAACAGUUUCAUCCCCAAACCCUAGUGAUGAAAUAGAUUCCACACACAAGACUUUGAAGAUGACCUUUUCACUUGCAGGAUGGCAACUAUUAACAAGCAGUGUCAUAAACAUAUCAAGUCCACGGCGACGCAUUUCUCUCCCUUGAGCCCAAGAGAGGGUCUUCUUGCUUCUUGCUUCUAAAACUCCUUUGAAGCAGUCUGUAAAUUAUAGCUGGCCUGUCUUCACCAACUCCUCAGGGCAGCGUGUCCUUGGAGUCUGCACACUAACCAAAAAAGAAAACUCCCAUCUCUCCUAAAGGUAAAGGUACCCCUGACCAUCUAGUCAUGAAUGACUCUGGGGUUGCGGCGCUCAUCUCGCAUUACUGGCUGAGGGAGCCAGCAUUUGUCCACAGACAGUCAUGUGGCCAGCAUGACUACGCCGCUUCUGGCAAACCAGAGCAGUGCACGGAAAUACCAUUUACCUUCCCGCUGGAGCGGUACCUAUUUCUCUACUUGCACUUUGACGUGCUUUCAAACUGCUAGGUGGGCAGGAGCAGGGACCAAACAACAGGAGCUCACCCCAUCACAGGGAUUCGAACCGCCGACCUUCUGAUCAGCAAGCCUUAGGCUCAGUGGUUAGACGAAAGCACCCCAGGCAUCCCCUCCCAUUUCUCCUAUCCUUACCUAAAACACAUACACUCACACUUUUCAAGGGAGUUAACAAAUUAACAACACAAUGAUUUGAUGUUUCUGUGACCUUAAUUGGAAUCACAAGAUUUUGCAGCUGUUACAUUACAUUACAUGGGUUUUCUUUCCCCCAAUACAAUGUAUUCUUUUUAAAAUACAUUUUCUAACAAAUACAGUAUGGAUACUAACAACACAUACUGUAUCAUGCUUUCCCCCCCUCUUGUUAAGUACAGCAAGAUGGUCAGCUAAACAGCAUGAUUCCUUUAUGCGUCAGUCAUGCCAGUGGAGGUGAUGCUAGCAUAGGAAGGAACCGUGUCGUUUCCCCCAUCUCAUGUGGUUCCUCUUUACAGGACAGCAUGAACGCCUUGGGACAUCAACGGUCACAUAAGAAUCAGCUCUAUGGAUCAGCCUGUACCACUGGUGGAGGAAGGUGGGUGCGGGGGGCGCAUCGCUCCGGGUGACAUCCCUGAGCGGGGGUGACAUUUGGUGUUCUGCCCACAACUCAGACUCCCACGCCUACCGCGAGCCAGUUCCUUCAGCUGGGAGCAUGGCGCAGCAGCUCCCCCCUUCCCCUGAUGGCUGGCAGUAGGUGCGGGAGUCAUGGGUGGGUGGUGCGCUGUUGCCCCAUGCUCCUGGCUGAAGGAGGCAGGCAGGCAGGGGAGAGGAUGGGAAGGAGGCAAGUGAGCGGGAAGGGGAGAGGAAGGAAGCGGGAUUGGUGGGUGGGUGCGUGCAUGGCUGUCCUGCGCCUGGGAGAGCACCCUCCGUGCGCCUUGGGAGCGCGCGCCCAUGCCCCUCGGAAGCAUGCCUACCCUAGGCAGCACAGGCAUAUGCUCAAUCACUGGCCUGUACACGUAAUUCCUGUGAUCCUUCCAGCCCCUUUAUUCCUUGGGACAAGAGCCCAGGGUCCCAUGUGUGUUGACGGGAAUGAAUAUACCCAAUGGAACAUGAUUUUCAAUGAAUCCUGAGACUCAACUACAUUAGCCAUGUUACAACACUAUAACUGUGUUACACACAUGUGACACCACAUGGCCCUGUAGAGCACAAAACUUUCUCUGUGUGAGUUUACAUGGAGGGUUUUUUUAUGUUGCUAUAACAAUUAAUAAUGAUAAUGAUAAUAAUAAUAAUUUAUUAUUUAUAUCCCAACCAUCUGGCUGGGCUUCCCCAGCCACUCUGGGCGGCUUCCAACAGACUAUUAAAAAACAAUAAUCUAUUAAACAUUAAAAGCUUCCCUAAACAGGGCUGCCUUCAGAUGUCUUCUAAAAGUCUGGUAGUUGUUUUUCUCUUUGACAUCUGGUGGGAGGGCGUUCCACAGGGCGGGCGCCACUACCGAGAAGGCCCUCUGCCUGCUUCCCUGUAACUUGGCUUCUCGCAGCGAGGGAACCACCAGAAGGCCCUUGGCACUGGACCCUAGUGUCCAGGCAGAACGAUGGAGGUGGAGACGCUCCUUCAUAUAUAAAUAUGACUUACUUAUAGCUGGGUUUUUCCCCUUUGUGUAGAUCCAACCCUGGUGAAACAUUUGUUAUCAUGUGCUGUGUCAUGGAAUCCAGGGCAUGUGCAGGCUUCCCACUGAUGGCGGUGGCAAUGGACUUCUACAGACUUAUGGGACUUCAAUCAUUUGUGGUGGAGCUCCCAUUUGCAUAACUGAAGUCUCCUUGUUUAUCCACUAAGAUAAAUUGGUAUUUCACUAGUGUCAACGG